AGCUUAUUACUGCAUCAAUAAUUUGUGCCUGUGGGACUCUUUCACAAAUCAUGUCAACGAGACUAGCAAUUUGAAGAGGCUGCUGCACAUGAUAUGAAGAUAUUGGCAUAUACAGUCCUAAACAUAAGUUUCAAAAUAGCAGGUGUGGAGUUUAGCCCUGUUCCGCUGUAUGGAAAGCCAUGACCUCCACACAGAUGAUGCAAGAGGAAACAAGCUAGACUCACAACUUUGGUUUUCAGGCAUCUUCACCAACAAAUAUUACCCUGGUACUGACAGCAAAUCAAGGACUUUAGAGCCCGGCCGCAGACCUCACGGAGCACCAACGAUAGCCUCAAGGUGAUUCAGCAGAGCAAGGUGAUGAGUACUCAGCUGGCUGGUCAAUAUCAAUGAUCUUAUCGGCCGGCAAAGCGGAGACGGACGACCACGGUCCCGACCUUGCCAGCAGGCGGAGACAAUAAAUGGGAUCAAGGGAAGUUGGUCGGGCUCCAGCGGCACAUGCUUACCACUGCUGACUGUUGCCGGGAAAGGUAUGUUGGUUUGAUUCUUUCAAGAUCCCAAACUAAAACAAGUCACCUGUGACAUUUGAAUGAUGCAAAGGUUUGUUGUCUCUUCCCAAGAAAUUGUGUGCAGAGAAGCUGCCUUGAUUUUACAUGCUGAACCUAUUUUUGCAUAAUCAAACACUGACGAUAAGAGAGAUGAAUGUGCAGUAUGCUAAAUUUGGGUAUCCAAUUGCAAAAGAAUUGGAUUAUUAUUUACAUUAGAAGCCAGGUUAUCACUAUGUAUUUUAAAUUGAUCGCUCAUGGACCGCUCAAUUGGCCAUAAACACAACAUAAUUCGAUCCCUCCCUUCAAAUUGGCAACUAAAGGGAAGGUGAGUUAAAAUGUCUCAGCCCCUGUGACCUGGCUGGUUAUGUUUAUAUUACAUCCAAUAUUAUGUGUACUCAUUUGAUCUAAGGUUAUUUUUAAUAACUUGUUUUUUUUUUGUCACGAACAAAUCGAUGAACCGGCAGUCCAACCGGUGACAGACGCAACGGUUCAGUUGCCCGUUCGGUUUUAAAAAAUAUAGUCCGAUGGCCAUGGUGGAAGAACAUGACAUGAAGUGCUUUGCAUCCCGAGAACGACGAGGAGACAUGAGCAGCCGGUGGCAGUGCUUCGCACUUCGAGCAGUAGGGAUACUUGAUCAUAGGGAAAGGGAAGGGAGAUGAGUUCGUGCUUGCAUGAUUUUUAGGGAAAGAGCGCGUGUAUUGUACUUCUGUGU